rnacentral:lncRNA from 1 species
AGUGGUUUACUGACCAACAGCAGUCUCCAGUUCGGUAUUUAGUGCCUAGAAGAAAAGCAAUAAUUUAAAGUCUUUGACUGACUCUCAAUUCCAGGCUCCACUGUAGAGGAAUAAAAAAGAGUUUAAGAUAAAGUGCAUCAUCCCACUGCAUCUCCUGUGGGUGGUGGUGGAUGAUGUGGC